rnacentral:rRNA from 1 species
UACGUAGGUGGCAAGCGUUGUCCGGAAUCACUGGGCGUAAAGGGCGCGUAGGUGGCGCGGGAAGUCAACGGUGAAAGUUCGGGGCUCAACCCUGAAUCGGCCGUCGAUACUCCCGGGCUCGAGCACUGUAGAGGCAGAUGGAAUUCCGGGUGUAGCGGUGGAAUGCGUAGAGAUCCGGAAGAACACCGGUGGCGAAGGCGGUCUGCUGGGCAGUUGCUGACACUGAUGCGCGACAGCGUGGGGAGCAAACAGG